rnacentral:rRNA from 1 species
UAUGAAGGGGGCAAGCGUUGUUCGGAAUUACUGGGCGUAAAGGGCGCGUAGGCGGCUUACCAAGUCAGGCGUGAAAUUCCCGGGCUCAACCUGGGGGCUGCGCUUGAUACUGGUGAGCUUGAAUGCGGGAGAGGAUAGUGGAAUUCCCAGUGUAGAGGUGAAAUUCGUAGAUAUUGGGAAGAACACCGGUGGCGAAGGCGGCUAUCUGGCCCGUAAUUGACGCUGAGGCGCGAAAGCGUGGGGAGCAAACAGG